UUAAAUCUCUACUCUCACUCUAUAAACAAAUUCCACCAUGAGUUUUUUCUGAUGAGUUUUUGUAUUUGAGGAAUGGAGACGUCAGAUUGUUGAUUUCAGAAAAAUCAAUCUGCAGAGUUAAUGAUUUUUUUUGUUUUCAAGUUCUUA
ensembl:ncRNA K10D6.13 ncRNA